ACGAACGCUGGCGGCGUGCCUAAUACAUGCAAGUAGAACGCUGAAGAGAGGAGCUUGCUCUUCUUGGAUGAGUUGCGAACGGGUGAGUAACGCGUAGGUAACCUGCCUUGUAGCGGGGGAUAACUAUUGGAAACGAUAGCUAAUACCGCAUAACAAUGGAUGACCCAUGUCAUUUAUUUGAAAGGGGCAAAUGCUCCACUACAAGAUGGACCUGCGUUGUAUUAGCUAGUAGGUGAGGUAACGGCUCACCUAGGCGACGAUACAUAGCCGACCUGAGAGGGUGAUCGGCCACACUGGGACUGAGACACGGCCCAGACUCCUACGGGAGGCAGCAGUAGGGAAUCUUCGGCAAUGGGGGCAACCCUGACCGAGCAACGCCGCGUGAGUGAAGAAGGUUUUCGGAUCGUAAAGCUCUGUUGUAAGUCAAGAACGAGUGUGAGAGUGGAAAGUUCACACUGUGACGGUAGCUUACCAGAAAGGGACGGCUAACUACGUGCCAGCAGCCGCGGUAAUACGUAGGUCCCGAGCGUUGUCCGGAUUUAUUGGGCGUAAAGCGAGCGCAGGCGGUUUGAUAAGUCUGAAGUUAAAGGCUGUGGCUCAACCAUAGUUCGCUUUGGAAACUGUCAAACUUGAGUGCAGAAGGGGAGAGUGGAAUUCCAUGUGUAGCGGUGAAAUGCGUAGAUAUAUGGAGGAACACCGGUGGCGAAAGCGGCUCUCUGGUCUGUAACUGACGCUGAGGCUCGAAAGCGUGGGGAGCGAACAGGAUUAGAUACCCUGGUAGUCCACGCCGUAAACGAUGAGUGCUAGGUGUUGGAUCCUUUCCGGGAUUCAGUGCCGCAGCUAACGCAUUAAGCACUCCGCCUGGGGAGUACGGCCGCAAGGUUGAAACUCAAAGGAAUUGACGGGGGCCCGCACAAGCGGUGGAGCAUGUGGUUUAAUUCGAAGCAACGCGAAGAACCUUACCAGGUCUUGACAUCCCGAUGCUAUUUCUAGAGAUAGAAAGUUACUUCGGUACAUCGGUGACAGGUGGUGCAUGGUUGUCGUCAGCUCGUGUCGUGAGAUGUUGGGUUAAGUCCCGCAACGAGCGCAACCCUUAUCCUUUGUUGCCAGCGGUCCGGCCGGGAACUCAAAGGAGACUGCCAGUGAUAAACUGGAGGAAGGUGGGGAUGACGUCAAAUCAUCAUGCCCCUUAUGACCUGGGCUACACACGUGCUACAAUGGUUGGUACAACGAGUUGCGAGUCGGUGACGGCAAGCUAAUCUCUUAAAGCCAAUCUCAGUUCGGAUUGUAGGCUGCAACUCGCCUACAUGAAGUCGGAAUCGCUAGUAAUCGCGGAUCAGCACGCCGCGGUGAAUACGUUCCCGGGCCUUGUACACACCGCCCGUCACACCAUGAGAGCCGGGGGGACCCGAAGUCGGUAGUCUAACCGCAAGGAGGACGCCGCCGAAGGUAAAACUGGUGAUUGGGGUG
rnacentral:rRNA from 1 species